CUCGCUAUGCGACUAGCGGUAGCCUAGGGGGACAUGCGUCACUGGUAACGGUGGGGUGUGAAGCUUCCCUGACAAUGUAGCCCCCGUAAGGGUGCCAAUGGAUCGUGAGGUCCGUAGGCAGCAAACCGAAGCAGCAUCGGUUGAGGAGC
rnacentral:ncRNA from 1 species